ensembl:lncRNA
UAUGCCUAUAAUUUAACAUGAGAAACUUCAAUCUCAAACAUAAGGAACAAAACGCUAAGGGUUAGGAUUUAAUAAAAUAAAAGUACAUAGUUUAUUUGAAUAGUGAAACAAUAAUACUAUUGAAUAUUUUCUAUGUUCUAAGAAUUAUGAAUUACUAGGAGUCAAAUAGCAAUAACAACAACAAUAACAAGCUGCAGUCCUUGCUCACAAAUCCACCUCCCAACUGAGAAAGAUGACUCACAUUCAUUUUACUGUAAUUUUUACAUUUGCAAUAAUUUAAUUUUAUAGUAAUUUUUUUUACUGUUAGGCUUCAUAUAUUAUAUUAACAUUUUAUCAGUACAUCAAAAUGUCCAUAAACAGGGGGCUAGAUAUUUUUAGCAUUAGCUAAAGAGUUCCAUCCUGGAAGAUGCUACAAUGCAGUGACAAAACAAAUGAACAUACAUGACGAUCCUCAAAUUCAUGACAUGUUUUUCUUCAUAAAUUUACUUGAUUUGUGGACAAUCAUCCCAAGAGACAUGACUCAUUGAAUAUCACUUAUAUUCAUCAAUAAUUCAUAAUUUCUGAAAUCAUGGUUAUCAAUCAAGUUUUUACUAUCUUUUAGAAGGUUAGAACGUCGUAAGUUGUAUAAAAGACAAGUAUCGAUACAUAUAAAAUAAUAGUUAGAAUUUAUUUAGCACUUUAAUAUUUACAAAGCACUAAAGGUGUACUUCCAUUUAAUUUGCAAAAUAAUUAUAUCAUAUUAUAAAUAAUUAUAUGAUGUUAUGUUCUAUUAUUAUCACUACAUCACAGUGAAAGAAUAUAAGACUUAGAAAUCUUAAGUAACUUUCCUAAAAUCACAUAAUUAAUGUAUCCAAAGCAAAUUUAAACUCUAGUCCUCACCCAAAAGUCUAUCUACUAUGCAACAAAUACCUCUGGGACUAUAACCAGAGGUACUAAAUAUGCACAUUAUAAAAUUAUCCCUGACAUAGAAGUAACAAUCUAAUGCAUUUAAGUGUUUCAAUAUAGAAUCAAUGAGAUAGAAACAUGUCUGUCACCUAUAGGAUGGCCAUUCACAAUAUUUCAGAUUGAAUUCAUAAAGUAUUAUAACAUGGGAAAAUGACAUCAAUGGCUGGGUAUAGAAAUAGAUACAUUAAAGCCCUCUGUGAUUCAUAUCAUGGGUAUAUAAUCCCAAUUUCUUAUGCAAACUAUUACUCCUCACUGACUGUUUUGUAGCUACCAUAAGAGGCAAGCAGUAUGUCUAUAAUUUAGCAAGAGAAACUUCAAUCUCAAAUAUAAGGAACAAAACGCUAAGGGUCAGGAUUUAAUAAAAUAAAAGUACAUAGUGUAUUUGAAUAGUGAAAAAAUAAUACUAUUAAAUAUUUGCUAUGUUCUAAGAAUUAUGCUAAUGACUAGGAGUCAAAUAGUAAUAAGAACAACGAUAACAAGCUGCAGUCCUUGCUCACAAAUCCACCUCCCAACUGAGAAAAUUGACUCACAUUCAUUUUUAAUGUAAUUUUUACAUUUGCAAUAAUUUAAUUUAAUAGUAAAUUUUUUUAAUGUUAGGCUUAAUAUAUUAUAUUAACAUAUUAUCAGUACAUCAAAAUGUCCAUGAACAGGUGUCUGAUAUUUUUAGCAUUAGCUAAACAGUUACAUCCUGGAAGAUGCUUCAGUGCAGUGACAAAACAAAUGAUCUUACAUGACCAUCCUCAAAUUCAUGACAUGCUUUUCUUCAUAAAUUUACUUGAUUUGUUGACAAUCAUUCCAAGAGACAUGACUCAAUGAAUAUCAUUUAUAUUCAUCAAUAUUUCAUAAUUUUUGAAAUCGUGGUUAUCAAUCAAGUACUUUCCUAUCUUAUAGAGAGUACAAGGUAGUAAUUUGUAUAAAAGACAAAUAUCAAUACAUAUAAAAUAAUAGUUAGAAUUUAUUUAGCACUUUAAUAUUUACAAAGCACCAAAUAUGUACUUCCAUUUAAUUUGAAAAAUAAUCAUAUUAUAUUAUAGAUAAUUAUAUCAUAAUACGUUCUAUUAUUAUCACUACAUCACAGUAAAAGAAAAUAA